rnacentral:rRNA from 1 species
UACGUAGGGGGCGAGCGUUGUCCGGAUUUAUUGGGCGUAAAGAGCUCGUAGGCCGUUCGGUAAGUCAGAUGUGAAAACUCCAGGCUCAACUUGGAGAGGCCAUCUGAUACUGCUGUGACUAGAGUCCGGUAGGGGAGCACGGAAUUCCUGGUGUAGCGGUGAAAUGCGCAGAUAUCAGGAGGAACACCAGCGGCGAAGGCGGUGCUCUGGGCCGGAACUGACGCUGAGGAGCGAAAGCGUGGGUAGCGAACAGG